UGAAUACGAGAUGCUACGGCGUCGAAGCAGUGUAUGUCAGACUUCCAAGAAAAGCUCGCGAUGUCAUAAAUAAAGAAUGCCUGUACCAUAACCGACACAGGUGGGUAGGUAGAGUAUACUAAGGGGCGCGAGAUAACUCUCUCUAAGGAACUCGGCAAAAUAACUCCGUAACUUCGGGAGAAGGAGUGCCUUCUAUUAGAAGGUUGCAAUAACAAGAUCCAAGCAACUGUUUAUCAAAAACACAGGUCUCCGCUAAGUCGUAAGACGAUGUAUGGGGGCUGACGCCUGCCCAGUGCCAGAAGGUUAAAGAAGUUGGUUAGCUUUGGCGAAGCUGAUGACUGAAGCCCUGGUGAACGGCGGCCGUAACAAUAACGGUCCUAAGGUAGCGAAAUUCCUUGUCGGGUAAGUUCCGACCCGCACGAAAGGCGUAAUGAUUUGGAUACUGUCUCGGAGAGGGACUCGGUGAAAUAGACUUGUCUGUGAAGAUGCGGACUACCUGCACCAGGACAGAAAGACCCUAUGAAGCUUUACUGUAACUUGAAAUUGAAAUUGGACUUUAUUUGCGCAGCAUAGGUGGAAGGCGUUGAGAUUACUCUUGCGGGAGUACUGGAGCCAUCAGUGAGAUACCACUCCUAUAAUGUUAGAUUUCUAACUUUGGAUCAUGAUCUGGUCAAAGAACAGUUUCAGGCGGGCAGUUUGACUGGGGCGGUCGCCCCCCAAAUGGUAACGGAGGCGUACAAAGGUUUCCUCUGAACGGGUAGAAAUCGUAUCUAGAGUGUAAAGGCAUAAGGAAGCUUGACUGUGAGACCUACAAGUCGAGCAGGGACGAAAGUCGGUCUUAGUGAUCUGACGGUGCUGAGUGGAAAGGCCGUCACUCAACGGAUAAAAGUUACUCUAGGAUAACAGGCUGAUCUCCCCCAAGAGUUCACAUCGACGGGGAGGUUUGGCACCUCGAUGUCGGCUCAUCGCAUCCUGGGGCGGUAGUACGUCCCAAGGGUUGGGCUGUUCGCCCAUGAAAGCGGUACGCGAGCUGGGUUCAGAACGUCGUGAGACAGUUCGGUCCAUAUCCGGUGUAGGCGUUAGAAUAUUGAGAGGAGCCUUCUUUAGUACGAGAGGACCGAGAAGGACAUACCUCUGGUGUACCAGUUAUCGUGCCAACGGUAAACGCUGGGUAGCUAUGUAUGGAGAGGAUAACCGCUGAAAGCAUCUAAGUGGGAAGCCCACCUCAAGAUGAGUAUUCUC
rnacentral:rRNA from 1 species